rnacentral:rRNA from 1 species
AUUGAACGCUGGCGGCAGGCCUAACACAUGCAAGUCGAACGAGUGGCGGACGGGUGAGUAAUGUCUGGGAAACUGCCCGAUGGAGGGGGAUAACUACUGGAAACGGUAGCUAAUACCGCAUACCAUCGGAUGUGCCCAGAGGGGAUUAGCUAGUAGGUGGGGUAAUGGCUCACCUAGGGGACGAUCCCUAGCUGGGCUGAGAGGAUGACCAGCCAAACGUGAACUGAGACACGGUCCAGACUCCUACGGAAGGCAGCAGUGGGGAGUAGGGCACAAUGGGCGCAAGCCUGAUGCAGCCAUGCCGCGUGUAUGAAGAAGGCCUUGGGGUUGUAAAGAACUUUCAGCGAGGAGGCGUUACUCGCAGAAGAAGCACCGGCUAACUCCGUGCCAGGCGCCGCGGUAAUUC